rnacentral:tRNA from 1 species
CAGGGGGACAACAAAAUGUUUAAUAUUAUUAUUUUGUCACCUUAGGUCGAUCGGUAUCUCACGUUCUUAAUUCAUUAAGAAUUUCAUUUUCUAAGUUUUUCUAGGUCACACCCAGUAUUUUUCCUGGGCCAUUAGCUCAGGUGGUUAGAGCGCACCCCUGAUAAGGGUGAGGUCCCUGGUUCAAGUCCAGGAUGGCCCAUAUCUCUAUGUUGGGGGUAUAGCUCAGUUGGUAGAGCGCCUGCUUUGCAAGCAGGAUGUCAGCGGUUCGAGUCCGCUUACCUCCACUGAUUACCACCUCUUUCAUAAUCUGUAGAAAGGAAAUGUUUUGAGUUGUGAUCAAAUUCUGAACGAAUCUAGCUUCCUAAUGAAAUCAUUAAGAUGCUGGACUCAUUGAAUUAAUUUCAUUGUUUUCAGAGAACCUUGACAACUGCAUAGAUUAUUUUUAAAGACAAUAAGCAUCUUUAAUGAUGCAGAUUUAUUAUUUGUGCGAAUGCAUUAAUAACAAUUCUAUUAAGCUGAUGCUUCAAAUUUGAAGUUAUU